GACGAACGCUGGCGGCGUGCUUAACACAUGCAAGUCGAGCGGGGCCCCUCCUUCGGGAGGGUGUCCUAGCGGCGAACGGGUGAGUAACACGUGGGCAACCUGCCCUCAGCUCUGGGAUAACUCCGGGAAACCGGGGCUAAUACCGGAUACGACCUCCACGGGCAUCUGCGGAGGUGGAAAGUUUUUCGGCUGAGGAUGGGCCCGCGGCCUAUCAGCUAGUUGGUGGGGUAGUGGCCCACCAAGGCGACGACGGGUAGCCGGCCUGAGAGGGCGACCGGCCACACUGGGACUGAGACACGGCCCAGACUCCUACGGGAGGCAGCAGUGGGGAAUAUUGCGCAAUGGGCGAAAGCCUGACGCAGCGACGCCGCGUGAGGGACGAAGGCCUUCGGGUUGUAAACCUCUUUCAGCAGGGACGAAGCGAAAGUGACGGUACCUGCAGAAGAAGCACCGGCCAACUACGUG
rnacentral:rRNA from 1 species